CAACUGCAGUCAGACUGUUUUUAUUUUGAAGAUUUUCUCGCUAUUUAUAUAUAUUUAUAAUGUAUAUAUUUCAUAUUUCUUUUAUUUUAAUGACAGCAUGCACUUAACCCUGUGUAGACUCCAUAAAGAUAUGCAUAAAUUGACGCGGAAGAGAAGGCAAUGCUGAAUAAAGUCGUAAAUUUUGUUAUUUUUGGACCAGAAUGUAUUUUUGAUGCUUCAACACAUUCUAACUGACCCACUGAUGUCACACAGACUACUUUGAUGAUGUUUUUAUUAUCUUUCUGGACAUGGACAGUAUAUCGUACAUAGAUUUUCAAUGAAGAGUCAGAAAGCUCUUAGUCUAAAUUUAAAACAUCUUAAACUGUGUUCUGAAGAUUAACGAAGGUCUUACAAGUUUGGAACGACAUGAAGGUGAGUCAUGGUUUUAUAAUGUUGAUUGAGACAUCAGAGUAGGCUAUCAUAAAAAUUGACUGUUAAAAUACCACGUGUUAGAUUGUGUCGUGUACUGUGUACCACUUUUUUAACAGCAUUUUUGUUAACCAGUGAUUACGUUCUUUAUGUACUAUUUCAGUGAAGUGGAGGAAUUUAAUCGAAUCAUAGACAAACAAUUGAGAAAAGAGGGGAGAGCAUCCAGUUGGAGUCAGUAAAGACGUUGUCCUUCCAGUUCUUCCUAUGUUGUUCACGCCAUGAACAAAUUUUUUUUAGUGUGUGUUCAAAUUCAACGGUUGCAAUAUAUAUUUUAUAAAACUUAAAUAAUGCAACUUAGACCC